rnacentral:misc_RNA from 1 species
UGGGGUCUUCCACAAAAUGAUCUAGUAUUUCAGGGAUUCGUUUCUUCUUCUUCUUCUUUGCUUUUAGACGUUCUUCUUCCUCCUUAUCACUUCUGAUGCUCGCUUCAAAUCGUCUAAUCUCAGCCAACUUCUCUUGUUCCUCUCGCAUCCCCAUUUGUUCAUUGUAAACCCUCCUCACCUUCUCUUCUCUUAGUCUUUCUUCAGUUCUCUGCUUCUCUUGCUUGUCCCACCAUCUAUGUUCUUCUCUAACUUUCUUUUUUCCAGACUCAGCUGAACUCAUGCUCCCAUGUCUUGUAUGCUUCUCAAAACUUGAUAGCUCAACGAUUCUUUUUGUCUUCCGG